UCCAGUACCACCCUCUGCAAUGUCCAGAGCAGCACAGGGCCAGUGGCGCCCACACAUGGGCCUGCUUCUAAGAGAGUGACACAGAGCAGAGUCUCUAAGCAAAGAGCCUUCAAUUCCAGCCCAGUGUCACCCAGAACCCCCGGAAUGUCCUUUGGUGGGACUGCACAGAGGUGCUCGGGCAGUGCAGGGAAUGAGGAGCUGAGGGAGCUGUGCACAGAGAUGGUUUGAAUUGUGCAUCUGGUGGAAGUCCUCUGGAUGAUUGUUUCUUUAAACAACACUCAUCAAUGCUGGACCCAGGAAUCAAGUUAAUUUCUUCUGAGCAAUUAAAAAGGAGCAAACUUGGAUCCUCUAUGGUGCGUUUCUGAGAUGAAUAAACUCAGCCUCAAGAGUGUUUCAUCUAAUUGAGGUGUUUUGCAUUGAAAAUGGAUAGUUUCAUUGUUGAAUGUUUUGGCUUCUGAUGUGGGAGACAAAGUGGUAAAUUAUUAAGGUACCUGUGCUUGGUACUUGGCUUCUUCUAUUAACCUUUUAAUGCCUAGUAGCAUUCCAUUAUUUUGGAGCAGGGGGGAGACAGCACCACUGAAAGAAGCAAGCAAAAAUAAUGGACCAAAAAUAUUAACACAGU